UGGGGAAUAUUGGACAAUGGGGGCAACCCUGAUCCAGCGAUGCCGCGUGUGUGAAGAAGGCCUGCGGGUUGUAAAGCACUUUAGUGAGGGAGGAAGUUCUAAUCAUUAAUACCGGUUAGAGAUGACGUAACCUCAAGAAUAAGCACCGGCUAACUCUGUGCCAGCAGCCGCGGUAAUACAGAGGGUGCAAGCGUUAAUCGGAAUGACUGGGCGUAAAGGGUGCGUAGGUGGUUGAUUAAGUUUCAUGUGAAAUCCCCGGGCUCAACCUGGGAACUGCAUGGGAAACUGGUUAGCUAGAGUAGAGUAGAGGUGAGUGGAAUUCCCGGUGUAGCAGUGAAAUGCGUAGAGAUCGGGAGGAACAUCAGUGGCGAAGGCGACUCACUGGACUCAUACUGACACU
rnacentral:rRNA from 1 species